CAUGCCGGUCGAAGAUACCAGGCCGCUGCGACUGUUUAUUAAAAACACAGCACUCUGCAAACACGAAAGUGGACGUAUAGGGUGUGACGCCUGCCCGGUGCCGGAAGGUUAAUUGAUGGGGUUAGCUAACGCGAAGCUCUUGAUCGAAGCCCCGGUAAACGGCGGCCGUAACUAUAACGGUCCUAAGGUAGCGAAAUUCCUUGUCGGGUAAGUUCCGACCUGCACGAAUGGCGUAACGAUGGCGGCGCUGUCUCCACCCGAGACUCAGUGAAAUUGAAAUCGCUGUGAAGAUGCAGUGUAUCCGCGGCUAGACGGAAAGACCCCGUGAACCUUUACUAUAGCUUUGCACUGGACUUUGAAUUUGCUUGUGUAGGAUAGGUGGGAGGCUUUGAAGCGUGGACGCCAGUUCGCGUGGAGCCAUCCUUGAAAUACCACCCUGGCAACUUUGAGGUUCUAACUCAGGUCCGUUAUCCGGAUCGAGGACAGUGUAUGGUGGGUAGUUUGACUGGGGCGGUCUCCUCCUAAAGAGUAACGGAGGAGUACGAAGGUGCGCUCAGACCGGUCGGAAAUCGGUCGUAGAGUAUAAAGGCAAAAGCGCGCUUGACUGCGAGACAGACACGUCGAGCAGGUACGAAAGUAGGUCUUAGUGAUCCGGUGGUUCUGUAUGGAAGGGCCAUCGCUCAACGGAUAAAAGGUACUCCGGGGAUAACAGGCUGAUACCGCCCAAGAGUUCAUAUCGACGGCGGUGUUUGGCACCUCGAUGUCGGCUCAUCACAUCCUGGGGCUGAAGCCGGUCCCAAGGGUAUGGCUGUUCGCCAUUUAAAGUGGUACGCGAGCUGGGUUUAGAACGUCGUGAGACAGUUCGGUCCCUAUCUGCCGUGGACGUUUGAGAUUUGAGAGGGGCUGCUCCUAGUACGAGAGGACCGGAGUGGACGAACCUCUGGUGUUCCGGUUGUCACGCCAGUGGCAUUGCCGGGUAGCUAUGUUCGGGAAAGAUAACCGCUGAAAGCAUCUAAGCGGGAAACUUGCCUCAAGAUGAGAUCUCACUGGAACCUUGAGUUCCCUAAAGGGCCGUCGAAGACUACGACGUUGAUAGGUUGGGUGUGUAAGCGCUGUGAGGCGUUGAGCUAACCAAUACUAAUUGCCCGUGAGGCUUGACCAUAUAACACCCAAGCAAUU
rnacentral:rRNA from 1 species